UACGUAGGGUGCGAGCGUUAAUCGGAAUUACUGGGCGUAAAGCGUGCGCAGGCGGUUCGUUAAGUCAGUUGUGAAAGCCCCGGGCUCAACCUGGGAAUUGCGGUUGAAACUGGCGAACUAGAAUCUGGCAGAGGGGGGUGGAAUUCCACGUGUAGCAGUGAAAUGCGUAGAGAUGUGGAGGAACACCGAUGGCGAAGGCAGCCCCCUGGGCUAGCACUGACGCUCAGGCACGAAAGCGUGGGGAGCAAACAGG
rnacentral:rRNA from 1 species